AUGGACUGCUGCUGCCGUGCGCGCCGCCUGGAUCUGGUGAUCGCCUUCUUCGGCCGUCUCCUCAAGACGGGCCUGGAGGCAGACCGAGUCGUUUUCAGCACCCUCCUCAAGGGACUCUGCCAUGCAAAGCGCUCAGAUGAGGCUCUGGACGUGCUGCUUCACAGGAUGCCUGGGCUGGGCUGCACCCCCGGCGUAGUGGCGUAUAACACCGUCAUCCAUGGCUUCUUUAAGGAAGGUCAAGUAGGCAAGGCAUGCAAUCUAUUUCAUGAAAUGGCGCAGCAGGGCGUUAUGCCUGAUGUGGUGACAUAUAGCUCGGUUAUUGAUGCGCUGUGCAAGGCCAGAGCAAUGGACAAGGCAGAGUAUUUCCUUCGUCAGAUGGUUGAUGAUGGUGUCGUACCUAAUAAUGUCACAUAUAAUAGCCUCAUCCAUGGAUAUUCCUCUUCAGGCCAUUGGAAGGAGGCAGUUAGGGUAUUCAAAGAGAUGACAAGUCGGAGGGUUACACCAGAUGUGCAUACUUACAACAUGUUUAUGACCUUUCUUUGCAAACAUGGAAGAAGCAAAGAAGCUGCAGGAAUUUUUGAGACCAUGGCUAUGAAGGGCCUGAAACCUAACAACGUUUCAUAUGCUAUUCUCCUUCAUGGGUAUGCCACUGAAGGAUGCUUAGUUGAUAUGAUUAAUCUCUUCAAUUCAAUGACUAGAGAUGGUAUUCGGCCUAACUGUCACACUUUGAACAUACUGAUUAAUGCAUAUGCUAAAUCUGGCAUGAUGGAUGAGGCUAUGCUUAUCUUUAAAGGAAUGCGGAAACAGGGAGUGAGUCCAGAUGUAGUCACCUAUUCAACUGUAAUACAUGCAUUUUGCAAAAUGGGUAGCUUGGACAUUGCUAUGGACAAAUUUAACCAGAUGGUUGAUAUGGGAGUACGACCGAAUGCAGUUGUUUAUCAUUCCCUAAUCCAGAGUUUUUGUACACAUGGGGAUUUCGUGAAAGCAAAGGAAUUGGUUACUGAAAUGAGGAACAAAGGUAUGCGUCCUCCUGAUAUUAACUUCUUCCAUUCAAUAAUGCAGAACCUAUGCACAGAAGGAAGGGUAACAGAAGCACGGGAUAUCCUUGACUUGAUAGUGCACAUAGGUAUGAGGCCUGAUGUUCUCAUAUUUAGUUUACUGAUCGAUGGAUACUGCCUAGUCUCCAAGAUGGAGGAUGCAUCAAAAAUAUUUGAUGAUAUGGUGUCAUAUGGUUUGGAACCUUCUAAUAUUACG
rnacentral:rRNA from 1 species